CCUACGGGUGGCAGCAGUCGAGAAUCAUUCACAAUGGGCGAAACCCUGAUGGUGCGACGCCGCGUGGGGGAAUGAAGGUCUUCGGAUUGUAAACCCCUGUCAUGUGGGAGCAAAUUAAAAAGAUAGUACCACAAGAGGAAGAGCCGGCUAACUCUGUGACAGCAGCCGCGGUAAUACAGAGGUCUCAAGCGUUGUUCGGAAUCACUGGGCGUCAAGCGUGCGUAGGCUGUUUCGUAAGUCGUGUGUGAAUGGCGCGGGCUCAACCCGCGGACGGCACAUGAUACUGCGAGACUAGAGUAAUGGAGGGGGAACCGGAAUGCUCGGUGUAGCAGUGAAAUGCGUAGAUAUCGAGAGGAACACUCGUGGCGAAGGCGGGUUCCUGGACAUUAACUGACGCUGAGGCACGAAGGCCAGGGGAGCGAAAGGGAUUAGAUACCCCUGUAGUC
rnacentral:rRNA from 1 species